rnacentral:rRNA from 1 species
UACGGGGGGGGGCAAGCGUUGUUCGGAAUUACUGGGCGUAAAGGGCUCGUAGGCGGCCAACUAAGUCGGACGUGAAAUCCCUCAGCUUAACUGGGGGAACUGCGUCCGAUACUGGAUGGCUUGAGUUCGGGAGAGGGAUGCGGAAUUCCAGGUGUAGCGGUGAAAUGCGUAGAUAUCUGGAGGAACACCGGUGGCGAAGGCGGCAUCCUGGACCGGUAUUGACGCUGAGGCGCGAAAGCCAGGGGAGCAAAAGGG